ensembl:snoRNA small nucleolar RNA SNORA68
CUUGCACCCAAACCCAAAGGUCAUGUCAACGCUGUGGUGUGACUGAGUCUGGUGUGCAAACAAAAAACUGGUCCUUGUCGCCUUUCUCUGAUGCUGAUGUGCCUUUGAAAGUGAAUUCAAGGUUCAACAAAU